rnacentral:rRNA from 1 species
GACGAACGCUGGCGGCGUGCUUAACACAGGCAAGUCGAACGGAAAGGCCCUGCUUUUGUGGGGUGCUCGAGUGGCGAACGGGUGAGUAACACGUGAGUAACCUGCCCUUGACUUUGGGAUAACUUCAGGAAACUGGGGCUAAUACCGGAUAGGAGCUCCCGCUGCAUGGUGGGGGUUGGAAAGUUUCGGCGGUUGGGGAUGGACUCGCGGCUUAUCAGCUUGUUGGUGGGGUAGUGGCUUACCAAGGCUUUGACGGGUAGCCGGCCUGAGAGGGUGACCGGCCACAUUGGGACUGAGAUACGGCCCAGACUCCUACGGGAGGCAGCAGUGGGGAAUAUUGCACAAUGGGCGGAAGCCUGAUGCAGCAACGCCGCGUGCGGGAUGACGGCCUUCGGGUUGUAAACCGCUUUCGCCUGUGACGAAGCGUGAGUGACGGUAAUGGGUAAAGAAGCACCGGCUAACUACGUG